UACGAAGGGGGCUAGCGUUGCUCGGAAUCACUGGGCGUAAAGCGCACGUAGGCGGCUUUCUAAGUCAGGGGUGAAAUCCUGGAGCUCAACUCCAGAACUGCCUUUGAUACUGGCAAUCUCGAGUCCGGGAGAGGUGAGUGGAACUGCGAGUGUAGAGGUGAAAUUCGUAGAUAUUCGCAAGAACACCAGUGGCGAAGGCGGCUCACUGGCCCGGUACUGACGCUGAGGUGCGAAAGCGUGGGGAGCAAACAGG
rnacentral:rRNA from 1 species